GACGAACGCUGGCGGCGUGCUUAACACAUGCCAGUCGAACGGUGAUGCUCCAGCUUGCUGGAGUGGAUCAGUGGCGAACGGGUGAGUAACACGUGAGCAACCUGCCCCAGACUCUGGAAUAAGCGCUGGAAACGGCGUCUAAUACUGGAUACGAAACUGGCCCGCAUGGGCAUGGUUUGGAAAGUUUUUCGGUUUGGGAUGGGCUCGCGGCCUAUCAGCUUGUUGGUGAGGUAAUGGCUCACCAAGGCGACGACGGGUAGCCGGCCCGAGAGGGCGACCGGCCACACUGGGACUGAGACACGGCCCAGACUCCUACGGGAGGCAGCAGUGGGGAAUAUUGCACAAUGGGCGAAAGCCUGAUGCAGCGACGCCGCGUGAGGGAUGACGGCCUUCGGGUUGUAAACCUCUUUCAGCAGGGAAGAAGCGAAAGUGACGGUACCUGCAGAAGAAGCACCGGCUAACUACGUG
rnacentral:rRNA from 1 species